GUCGAAGCAAAAGGGAAUGUGAAGACUGUUGUCUAUCUGCUUCAUUUGUUACUCUGUGCUCAGCCCUUAGCUGUAGAAAGUAGAUGUAGAUUAGAUUAAUCCAGCAUGUUUAUUUAAGAAUAAAGGCCGUGUUUUGGACUGAUAUCGCCGUAGAAUUUAAUACAUUAUUUGUCUUUGGUUUCUUUAAACAAUAAACACGGGUUUAGGGUUAGAUUGAGGGAAUAACAAAGCAAGUACACACGGUCUUCCGAGGGAGAAACAGGGCAGGGCUCUUUCGAAAGUGGUGUCACAGAACAGCUCUUGAUGUCAGCAACUAAUGGCUGUAGAUUAACCAUUAUCUUAACUAAUGUUUAUGACUGAUGGCUGAAAGGGAGGGAACUUGCUCCCCAGUUGUAAACAUUCCCUCACGUGACUGUAUGCAGAGGCCAGGCCCUGUUUACUUGGACAGUCGCAGAAGUUGGUGGCGGACAUUGAAUCUUCAACCUCCUAAGAGACUGACGACAUCUGUAUUUUCGGAUGCACCCCCACCUGUGAACAGGGAAACCUGGAAAGAUGAGAAGAGGAAGCUGAAGCCCAGUUCUUGAGAUGCAGUGAUGAAGUUUCAGCCUAGUUCCAGGAUGGGAAUGCAGUAAAUGAUCCUGAAGCAACACUGAGGCUCCUCCUGUGAAAUAUCCACAGUCCAGUGUGUAUAGAGAAAGUGCUUGCUGGCUCUCCCAAGUGUUGACGGUCCUGUGUCUUCAAGAGAUGCAUUCCAGGACAAGAAAACACUGACUCAUUUGGUUUUGUGAAUAACCAAGACCCCUGUCCACUACUUCUGAAAAUUCUGCUGGUAGCAUGAUGGAGAAUUGGUGGGAUACAGUAGUGUCACUUUCUGGAGCUAUGGGAUACAGAAGAUAAAAAGUGAUUUGAAAAAUCUGAAGGUCUUGAGUGUAAACUUACAUAAGUUCUAAAAAUGGGAAGAAUUUUUUUGGAUCAUAUUGGUGGCACUCGCCUGUUCUCCUGUGCAAACUGCGACACGAUCCUGACCAACCGCUCAGAGCUCAUCUCCACUCGCUUUACAGGGGCAACAGGAAGGGCCUUUCUUUUUAACAAGGUGGUAAAUCUGCAGUACAGUGAAGUUCAGGACCGGGUCAUGCUCACUGGCCGCCACAUGGUCCGGGACGUGAGCUGCAAGAACUGCAACAGCAAACUGGGCUGGAUCUAUGAGUUUGCCACUGAAGACAGCCAGCGCUACAAGGAAGGCCGCGUUAUCCUGGAAAGAGCCUUGGUCCGGGAGAGCGAAGGCUUCGAGGAGCAUGUUCCAUCCGACAAUUCCUGAAGAGGCUCCAGUCUCUUCUCAGGUUCUCUUCAAUUGAAACUCAAAUAUAAUAAAAUCAACAAAAAAAAUCUGCUUACAUACACUGUCACCUUAGCAUCAGAGUCGGAUUCAUGGACUACAAAGUGGGAAAGAUUGUGAGAAUAUUUCAGAUGGAACCUUCCUUUCUUUAUUCCUUUUAUAUUUUACUUUCCCUCCAGCAGCUGUUUGUAGAAAGAAUGUUGUGCAGAUGCUGUAACUUUUACUCUCUUUCAUUUACAUCUGUUAGAUUUGAGAUUGUAUCUUAAGGUACAGUGGGCUAGAAGGAAAAUACUUGCAGGAUUUGUCUUUUGUUGGAGAGAAAUUCAAUGAGGUGUUUUUUUGUUUUUUUUUAGUUUGCACAAACUAAUGUCAACAUCAAGUUAUUUUAAAUCUACAGAUGUUUUUUUAAAAGUAUAUUCCAACUUUUGGCUUAAGUUUUUAGUUAGGUUUUUCGUUUUUUGGGCUUUUUUUUUUACCCAGCCUUUUCACCUGGUUUGCUAGUAAAAGUGAAGAGAUCCGAAUUUGUGCUGAGUGCUAAAGGUUCAGUGUUGGUACGGCUUGGGCUGGCCCAUGUGCCAUAUUCUUGUUGAGGUUGAUUGGUAGCACAGAGCCCAUUAUUUCUUGUCAUUCUUGACCCAAAGAUGUCACCAUUCCUUGUUUAUUUGUGAAGUCCCAUUCACCACGUAAACUGGUGUUGAUUGGAAACUAUCCUUGAAAUAGGGCAAAACUGCUUGGCUUUUUUUAACUUUAACAGAUGUAACUUAUGAGCAUAGUAAUAAUAUAAAGUAAUAGCUGUCUGUUUAGUCUUGCAUUGCUUAUAAAUCCAGCUGUGUUUGUAAUGAUAGGGAUCCACUGAGAAACUACUGUUUCAGUAGUCGUUUUUUUUCGUUUCUCUACUAAUCUCAUUAAGUUAGACAAGGAAUUGCAAAUCUUAAUUCUUCUUCAAGUAGCUUUCUUUAAACCCAGAACUUCCUAUGUUAAACACAGCUGCUGUGUAAAAGGAGAAGAUUGCCAGCAUGUUUGUUCAUGCGUAGAGUUAUGCAAUCUGCAUCUCUUGAAACGAUUAACUUAAACAGCUUGUUUUCAAAUGCUGCUUCUGGUGUUGAAACCUUUAUCUUUCAACUUUGUUGAACUUUUUCAUUGUGAUGUUACAUUUUUAUCUUUCUGGGCAGCAGUACAUGUCAGCCUAGUAGUAACUAGUGACUUGGAUUCCUGCUUUGUUCUUGUAGAGGUCAGCUCUGUUUAAAGCAGUGAUCUUGCUUGCCUUUUUUAGCAAAAAUGCUCUUCAUUAACUUAAUUCAAGGGUGCCCAAACACUUUCAUUGUGUCUUAAGCCAUAAGUCAAGAUCUCAAGGGCUGAAAUUUAUUUGAAUGUUAGAUCUGUAUGAUUUCUUACCCAAGAUAUGAGUUGGUUGUGGUUUUUUUUUCCUUAUUGGAUAAAUUGUGGUCAACGUGAAAUAAGUUACCCACAGGCGUAGGAAAGGGGGGGGAGCCCCACCCAGCCAAACAGAUCUGGGUUCUGACCUUUCAGAAUAACUUUUCUUCUCUAGCCACAGCUCCAUAUCUGAAACUAAGGUGUGGAGGAUGGCUAUGCAGAGUAUUUUUCUUAAUGUUUUUUUGGUUGCCAAGUGGCAAGUUGGACACCCCUGACUUGAAUCUACUGCCUCUUCCAUGUAAAGGUAGCUUUGUUCUAGAAAUGUCACAUAGAAAGAAAACAGAGUAGAUCACAUACCAGAGCUGUGCUUGAAUCAAGCUGCUUAAACAAUAGUGUACUUGUGCCUCAAAUGAAUCAGUUUUUGCACUGAGUACAGUAGUACCCCAUUAUCUUGUACUUCUGUCCUUCACAGACCCUGGAAGCGCCAUUAGCAUGGUUCUCUGCAGUACUUUUCUUGUACUUCUGACAUUACAGUACAAUAAAGUAUGUUUUGUCCUGAACUGAUCUUUGCUGUCCUUCUAGAAUUAUUGUCACAGAGUGUGUCAAAUCGCAUAACCCAUCUUUCAUUCCUUGUGUUAAGUUUCUGCAGCAUAGUGACAAGAGUGGCAAGAGUUCUGUUGAUUUUGGAAGGUGCCAAGUAGAGCUUCAUGCAAACCACUUGGAUACUUGAAAGCCAUCAAUUUGCUUCUGUUAAAGAGAAAACAAAAAAUGUCUCAUUUAACGGAGUUCCGGGUGCCAAAUGUCUUUCCAUGACUUUGAAAAGACAGCAAGCUAAGCAAAAAAUUCAACUUCUGCAAGAAACUUGAAGUUUUGGCUUCUGAAAUGGCUUGGGAAUUAAUGAAUUGGGUAUUAUGUAUCUGGACUUUUUCCUUUGUGUUCAGAUGUUAGGCAGAAACCUGCUAGCAGCUGGUCAACUUCUAAGGCUGUAGCUGAAGAACUGAGAUGAGAGGAUCAUUCUGUUGGUGUGAUGGGGACUGGGGCUCUUACUCUAACUUACAUGAAGACCAUUUUGAUAGAAUGUUGUGAGAUGAUAAAAUUACUUUUCACAAAGCCUUUGAUUUGAUUUUAAAAACACAUAUGAGGUGAACUCUUAAAAAUCCCAUGAGACUUAAGACUCUGCAGCUUUAAAGCAGUAGACUUUGGCUUGCUGUUUUAGCUUACAUGCUGUUCCCAACCAUAUCACUUUUGAUGGCUCUGGGAGAGUUUAGUCUCCUAUAUUUUGGCUGCUCCUCCUUGAGACACUUGGUGUGUGAACACAGAUAACUUAUCUCCGGGGAACAAGGCCAUUGGUUACAGCACUUCUAGAGACAGAGGAGACAUUGCUAUUUGGCAUCAGCUGCAAUUUUGUAGUAGUGGAGUAGUCUGGGAUUCUCAAACAAGGGCUGGCACAGGAAAAUGUGCCACUACAGUGAUCUUUUGCCAGGCACAUGGUGGGGUCUGAGGUAAAGAAGGGAGCAAGGAAAUUGCAGUGCACAACAGACUGCACUGUGCAUUCCUGGAGACCUCAGAAUCUGCUCAUAGGCUGCAGCUUGGGCCAGCAGUGGUGCUGUGACAUUUCCAUGACGUGAGCUGGAUUGGAGUUCAUGUCACCUGUGCUAUGAUCUCAUCCUGUGGGUGUCCUCAAAACUGAAAUACUUCCUUGCUACUGUUUCAGCAAAGCACAGCUUUGGGAAGUGGAAAAGAUUGGAUGGUGUGUUUGUGAAGUGUAAAAGCAUUUUACUUAUGCUCUCCAGGGAUGUUAGAAGAACUUCUGAAGUGAUGUACAUGUCUCAUGGCUCUAUUAGGAAAAGUGACCUUGCAUGUGGCUCUGGGGUUGGCUGUGGUUACUGCCACAGCCUUAUUCUUACAGGGAAAGCUUGUCUCUGCUGAUUUGAGUCAAAGCUUUAGAAAAAAAAGUCAGCAGGUCAUCAAUGGAUGAGCAGGUAAGGAACAGGUGAAGCUGCAGUUGAGGUCAUAAUUGCCAGGUACAGGGAUGAGGUGGCUGGGAAGGCUCUGACAUUGAUGUGGGAAGAGGCGAGCUGGUUGAUGAACCCUGUUUUAGAUGAGAAACACAAGCUGUGAUACUGCAGUACCAUUCUGCAAAACCCAGAAAUAGUGUAUUGUGUUUCUUUCUUUGGUUUGCCUUUACUUAGAACAGCAAUAAAUUUUAAAAAUUCAGUGAAGCUUGCUUUCCUGUGGAUCUCAAGGGCUUUUUAGACUUCUUGAUGCCUGACAAGGAUGAAAUGCCUCUGUCUUUUUAUUUUGCUUGGGCCACUGGUAAGAAUUGCUCUCCAAUCCUGGUUUUUCAGGACUUAAAAGGACUAAGCUUUUUUGAGUCUCCUCUCUUCAUAGCCUGGAGUUAAAAUUGCCCAAAAACUUCCAAGAGUGCUUUGAGUGGUGAGGAGGAGUAUGACCUGAUUGAUAAUCUUCCUGUGCAAGUUUUUUUUCAGUCUUUUUUGCAUUUCUUGCAGGAAAUCUGAAAUAUGGCCAAAGAAAGUGAGUUGCUGUCUGUUUCAGUACAUGUUGUGUGGCAAAGACCUUCAACAGCUGAUGACAAGCCUGGUUUCUGCAAGUGUGGAGCUCUUCCUGGUCUCAUAGUUACUUCCUUCCCUACCUCUCUCUCAUGUAAGAAUUUUUGGUACAUGUAGGAAAGUGCGAGGGCAGAAAUCUCACAUCUGCCUUCCAGCCUUUUGUUUACUGGUAGUGUUGCUCUUACUUGAAUGGAUUUCUGUGAUCUCAGUAAAACUCCUGCCAAGCUGUUGCUGCUUUUUUAUUUAAAGGCUCUUCUGGCAGAAUACUAGUGACUUUCUCAUCUCUCAUCCCCAAGUCUAGGCAGAGGUUGUUUGGGAGUGUGCUUGACUGAACAUUGUACUCUGGGUCUGGGUGAUGUGAAGGAAGACCUCAUUCACACCUUUCCAGGAUACUUCCAUUGUUGUGCUGCAGCUCUUUCCUUCUGAUGCUAUUUUAAGUGUGAUUUGCUAAAGUUUGCAUUGCAAGUCCUCCUUCUUAAAAGGAGGUGACAGCAGUGUGUGUCUCUUAAACAUGGUGUUUCACUCUGAAGGACCUGAAAUACUUGCAAUUUGAUACUGAGUGCUUUGUGUGCUACUCAGUUGGAAGGGGUGGCUGUGUUCCUGUUUGACUUGCUCCUGCAAAAAUAAGCCCUGGUGCUUGUCUAAGAUAUGGCCAAAACUCUCCCUGCAAUGGGAGUUAGGAUAUGGAGGAGAAACCCAGGUGAAAGUGUGUGCAUGUGUCUGAUUCAUGUCAACUAAACUGGUCCCUCUGAAGCAACAGAGGUGGGAGAAAUUCUAGAGGUAAGCUUGUGCCUUUUCUUUUUGCCUUGUGUGGUUUCAAUCACACAAAAUCACUUGGGCAUGGCAGAGGAUCUGAGGUCCCCUGAUGAACAGAGUGGGAAGUGCAGCACCAGGGCUUUGGUACAGGCUCUGUGUUGUGUUUGGAUGAAGGCAGCUGGAAGGUAUUUGUCCUUUGAAGUAGGCUCUGUUUUUGUUCUCAUUAGCUGAAGCAUUUAUUACUGUCAGGAACUGGACUUUGUAUAGAAGUGAAAGUAGAAAGAACAAAAGGCUAUGGUAAUAAUUUGGAUUUUCUAAGCAUGAGGGGUAAAUGGGAGAAAGAAGAAUGUUCAGAUCUUGUAUUUUGACUCUGCCCAGGACAGAGAUGUUUGUUUGCCUGACAUCAAGAUCCAGUGCUGGUUCUCUCUGGGACUUGGGGAUGUUUAGAUACACGGUUUUGCUUUGUCCUUUUGUUAGUGUUUGAUUUGACUGUUGUAAACAUUUACAGGUGUUUGAAACAGUAAGUUUACUGGAUUACAACAGACUGCAUGCCAUGGUUGUUUGCACUCUAAUGGCAGAUGUUGCAAUAGAUGUAGUUAGUGGAGUAGGGAGAUCCCUUUUCUUCGAGGGGAACAUAAGGUGGGAUGGCUCAUACAAGGCUGCUUAAUCGAAGAAUUUCCUGAUGGCUUUCAGCUCUCUUUAGAGACAGCUAUCCUCUGUCCCUGGAAGUUUGAAAACUGAUAUUCCAGACACAGGUAUAUGGUGAGUAUAAAAUGAAGAGGACAUUUAUUAUUUUCAGGGGCAGAUCUUGGCACAUGUGCGUGGUCAAGAAGGUGGGAUGCUCUGAAUUUAGUAGUGAGAACUCAGGUACAUCCCAUGGACAGAGUGCUGAGAGCCUCUGUGGUUAUGCUCCUGUUGGUAUUUGGCCAACAGAUCUUUUCCCCCAUCCUACCCAUUUUUAUUUUCUUUGGUCUGGUCUGUAGUGAUUGUUGUACCUUCCCUGCAGAAUUAGUGCAGCUUAAGGAGGCAGUCACUUCUACUAUCCUGUACUCUACCAGUACAAUGGAUUAGUUGUUGCAGCUCAGAGGGAUCCAUGGAUUGUCUAUUCCAUGUCUCCCUGCUGAGGAGGGAUUAGUUUAGAGAUGUACUCAAUGAGAGUGCAUUCUUGGGACAAAGUUCCUCAGCAGGAUUUCUUACUGUAGCCAAAAGUACAUUAGAGAGAUAGGAUUUAGGUCACAAAAGUAGAACACUUGAAGAAAGCCAGGUUUCCAAUGGAUUGGGUAGCACAUGGUUACCCUGUCCCUGCAUACGUGCAGCUCGGGGAUGAAAGUAUGUGAUCACAAGAGCAAGGAUGGCACCAUCAUCACCCUUUUAUAUGGUAUGCAUUGAACUGGUAGCUGCAGUCUCCAUCCCACCAUUCCUAAAUCUGGACUGCUGGACUUAUUUUGUUCUAAAGGCAAUUUGAAAAUGAACUUUCCAAUGUGCAUUUAAGUACAAAAAUGAAAAGGAAACGAGAUUAUAUUUGUAAUUGCUGGCUUCUUCAUGACUGGGAUUUGAACUGGAAACCCCCUUUCAUCACCACUUAAGCUCCACAGCUGACUGCUUCUUAACCAGUGGCUGGAGGAAGAUUUUUGGUGAAGAAAGAUGAGCAGAUGACAGAUGAAGGCUUUAGAUUUGAUGUAAAGUCUCAGUAUGGGACAGGGAAUUUUAUUUUCAGUUUGUACACUAGUUCUGGUUUGGUUGAGGCAGUUGUGGUUUUUUGGUUUUGGUUGGGGUUUGUGUUUUUCCCCUUCUGAUACACAGAGUUGGUGAAUUUCCUGCUCCAUGUAGGACUUUGCAGGAAGAAAUGGGAAGAUGAAAAAUAUGCUGUAUUUCCUAUCCAGGCUGCCUAUCUGACUCUUGCUUCCAGGCUCCUGAGCUUGGGAAGGUUCCUGCUCCAUGCAUGCUCCCUGUCAAGGAGAGAACAUCGCCAUCAUUCAUGUGCCACAUUCCUGGGAAAGGGAGGAGCACUGGGAGGCAGCUUUCCAUCUCACCCUGCUCCAUUUGCUCUGUCAAGCAGCAGGUAAGCUCAGGGCUCCUGGAAGCUUUGGCUGCCUGUCAAAACAAACCAGAGGCACAGAAAAACAACAGCUUUUAGCACUCAGUCCCGUGCAAAUUCAGGACCUAAAAUUCUAGUGUUGCUCCUAAAAAUAGACACAAAGCCAUUUCCCCCAUAAAACUCACUUCAGCAGCAUUUGUAUUUUUAUGUCAAAAGGUUGAAGGAGAAGGUGGGGGAUGCUUGCCACAGGAACUGAGGGCAGAGCAAAGGCAGAGAAGGAUGCUCUGUCGGAGGUUUUGCCGUUUCUUGCCGGCAGUGUUGAUGUUUAGAUAUCGGCUCCAGGUUCCUUGGGGAAGGUGAUGCUUAUCACUGGCUCCUUUACCUGGCUCCUUUUUGAUCCCUUCUCCCCCUGUUCUCUGCAGCCCGGGGUGCUUUGUUCCUCCUGCAGUCUGUGCUUUCGCCGCUCAUCACCUCCCCUCCGCUCCCUCCUUCCUGCCCCGCUCCUCUCCUCGCAUCCCUGCUGGGAUUUCAGCCGGUGGCCUCGUUCCUCCCCUCGGGCUCGGCCUCGCCGCGGCCGUGCGGUGACCCGGGGACACGGAGGGGCUGCUGCCGGUCUGAUUCACCGGGCUGGCACGCAAACAGCACACACAGCCCUGCCAGCACGCUGCUGGGGGUGAGGCAAAGUGGCACUGCAUCAGAGAUGGGGGUUUCAUCCCGCCCCUGUGUGCUGCCAGGGAGGCGUGAAGAACACUCACAGACACACAGACACGGACAGACACACACACACUGAUCCUGCUGUUCUCAGCUCAGCCCCGCUGGCACUGAUGCUCAGCAGAGACAGGUCUGGAGAAGGCUCUGCUCAUCUCUGCUGCAUGGGGCUGGCACCCAGGGAUGUCCAAGGAGCUGAGAUGGACACUGCACACCCCUCUGCAGACACACAGGGGGAUAUUUUGUGCUCCUCUGAUAUUUUUUGUGACCAGACCUCAGAGGGGAGUGCCAGCCAUUGUCAAAUGUCUGCUACACAUCUUGCUUCAUGUGUGUGUGGGGUAAAUCCAUCUUCUCUGCAAAGCACCAGUGUUCCACAUACCCAUCAGCACUAUAUUGAAGAUUUCUGCUGUUAAAAAAAAGCCACUGUUGCACUCCCUUCCCAAAGCAUCUGGGAGCUGACCCUCAUGGCAUGGUAUGAAUCCAGCUCUGUGCCAGCUCACCUCCUGGGGGCAUCUGCACAUCCCUUCCCCUAUCAUCAGCUCUGCAGUGAAAUGUGCCCAUUCUAAUAGUCAAGGUCUGUGUUUCAGAAAUAUCAAUGGCUGGGGAUAUACCACAUGCCAUACCUUAGCAACCCUGUAUUUUAAUGAGGAGCUAUUUUCUGACAGCACAAGAGAGUCUGUGGGAGUUUUAACAUCCAGGAAUGUUGGGGAGUGAAACCUGAAGCAGAACUUGUCAGCCUGCAAAUUAUUUAUUACCUGUGAGCAAAAGAAGUGUGGGCUGGACUUCCACUAAUUGCUGUGGCCUGGAGAUGUGGUCCUGCCUGCUUUCUUGGCCAGAUCUCCUCUGCCUACCUUUUAGCUGAGAGAAUUGGGACUCCCUGUCCUUCCUGGGGAGAGCCUUUCUCCGUCCAAGGAGUGUACCUGGGUCUUGAAAGGUUUUCCUGGAAAAUUCUCAUUUUAUUUUCCUGGUUGGUCAAAGCUGCUAACAAAGACACUUCGAUUUGUCCUCAUAGAAGAAUAACUUCAGCCAAUCUUCCCAAGGAGGCUGCUGCUACAAUUUGUGAUUAAAGUGAUUUAUGAUUCCAGCUCAUCCUGAUCUGGCUGAACUAGACAUCUAUGGAAUUUGAAAGGGAAGCACUGUUUGUGACUGGCUUGAAGGAUAUAUGAUAUCUGACUAUAAUCUUUAGGAUAAAACAUGUCCACAUCACUUCAAGUUCUUAGGCCAGACCUAAGUUUGCAUGUUUCUUCUGAAAAAAACCUUGGGUCAGGUCCUUCCCAAGGCUGUGUUUAAGCACUGUUUAUUACAACAACAAGCUUUGGGACAGACAUUGUUUGUCUCAUGUUGGUUGAAGUAGUAUUUAUAGGAAAUCUGAAGCAACUUUAUUUCCCCAGGAUUCCACACAGAGAAUGUCAGAUUUGGAGCUUUCUAAAGGCAGCUGCCACCUUAAAAUAGACUGGGAGAAUUCCUAUUGUUCAGGUGACAUAAUGAGGCUGAGAUGCAAAUGCAGAGGGAAGCAAUAGCUGACCAUGAGCGUUGCACUGUGGGGAGAGUGAGAUGCUCUGUGUGUCACCCCACCAGCAACUCUGCUGAGGAGCACAGGAAAACACAUCGGUCAAGCUUCAUUGAAUCCAGGACACCCUCACAGAUUGCCUGAGUGAAUCAGCAGUUACCAGCACUGGGCUACAUUUUGUUGCUGAAAAAUCCUACUUGCAUCUAGAGGAGUCAGAAGGAUGGCAGGUGGUACAGGCCUGGGAAUGAAGAGGCCUCAGGCCGAUGUCCACUGCUGCCACCAGCUUUCCCCUAUACCCCAUUUUCCCUACAAGGUCAUCUCACUUUCUGACUUUCAAAUUACCACCACCCUGUGUGAAAUAAGAGGGCUGUGAAAGAGGUAGAAGUUGUCUGUCAAAAGUACUAUUUUGUCAACUAAAGAAGCCAUGGCAACAUAAAGCUACAGCACAGUUUCCAUCACAAGACUAACUUGAGUCAGUCACUGCCUUUGAAACAUCUGUGGUGUGGGCUAAAAGUAGACUUUUCUACCAGAAUUGAAGGACAUUGAAGGAGUCACAAAAAGUAGCCUAAAAUAGGGUGAGGAAAAGAGGAUUAUCAGAUAAGGGUGGGGGGAGGAAGGAAGAACAGAAGAGUGCAAGAAGUGCCUCAAGUUUCCCUGCUUUUAUUGGUGUUACUCUUCUUCAGCCAGACUGAUGAGUUUACAGGACAUGUUGAAUGGUGACCUAGCAAGUGGAACCACUGUUGAGACUCUUGUUGCUAAGAUUCUUAAUAAUAACCAUGCUCCUGCCAGGAAUUACCUGCAGCUGGGGAGUUACACCACUGCUUACUUCUGCAGGGACUGGGAACUUGUAGGAGCCGUACCUGGGGGUUUUUCCAGAUGUGUACCAGUUCCUCUUUUGCCUUUGUUCUGUGUUAUGCUAACUUCUGUCCUCCCUGCAUUCCUGCUUGUUCUAGGAAUGCAUCUAUCUGGAGACUGGAAAUGUGAGAGAGCAAUAGCAAGUUGAUAUUUUACCUGUGAAAAUGCAAACAUUAGUCCUAGAAGGACAAAGUUGCUUCUCUGUGAGAGCGAUUUGAGAUAUCUGAAAGAGCUGAGAUGUAGCAGGGAAUAUUUUGGAAUGGCUUUGCGAUGUGAGAAACAAAACAGGCCAGUUUGAGGCCUGCAUGUAUUAUGGUAGCCUGCCCUUGGACACAACACACUUGUUUGGAUGGCUAAACUGAUUUUUAUUAAAGAAAAACAUUUCUACAGUGUUUUCCCUUUAAUAUCUCCAAGUGCUUUAAUAGGCUUGGGAGAUGCUGGGGAGCAAUCAACACACAAGCUGUCUGUGAAUCUUGCAGCAUUUAUUUCUAUGAAUGUAAACUUUUCUUACUCUCUUUUUAUUCAGACAUCAAAAGGAAAGGAACAAGAAAAAGGGAAAGGCUGAGACUUAUGCAAAAUACUUUUCUCUAUCCUUUUUUCUGAAGAAAAGAACAAUUACCAUUGCAUGUAAAUAAUCUUUUUUCCCCUUGCCUAUUCUAGACACACUUUCACCACUUCAGUGUAAUUAGGCAUAACGUACUGAGAUGAUUUAUAUGCCAGACCUAAGGACAAUAUUGUGGUUCACUGCUAUUAGGCAGAAGGCACUGAAAUCUCAGUUUACAUUUCAGACCUAACAAAAAAUGCUGUAAUUGUAUCAUUCUUUUAACAGAUGCUUUGAUGCUGAUUUGAAAUUUGGGGACUAUGACUUCAGAUUUUGAAGUAAAAGGCCACCUAAGAUAAUGAGCAAAAAGACAGGAACAGAGUUAAAAUAUUAAGGGUCGGGUGUGCAGGGAUGCUUUUAAGAUGUGCCAGAAAGCCGAAUUCCAAGGACAGGAAGGCAAGCUGGCACACAGAGGAAUUUGGAUGCUUAAACAAAUUGAUGACUUCUGUAAUUAGGAGUUUUAAAACCCCCUUAAAAAGAAAUUAAGGGUCUGCAGUGUUGGUAGGAGAUCACUGUCUGAGGGAUGCACAGUGCCCUGAAGAAGGAGGAGAGGUUUAUGUGCAGCCUUGAAGGAGGACAGAGAAAUCACUGUGGUUCUGAACACAUUCUGAACACAGUGCCAGGCUCCCUGCGCUCAGAGCUCACACAGCCACAUGAACUCGGUGCUGCUGUUCCAGAGUUUGACUUGGGCAAGCUAGGGACAGGUUUGCAGGGGUGCAGUGAGCACAGAGAUGUAUGGGUACCUGCUUGCUCUGAAAAUCAGGUUUUACUGUUCUCAGUCUAGCUGCUUUUGUAAAUACUGACCUUGACAAUUUUGGUUCCUUGUCCUGGUAGAGGAGUGCUUGGAGAUGCUCUUGUGAGAAGGAAAUUUCUUCUUGUUUUUGCAAAUUUUUUGAUUAAAAUCUCCUGGCUCCCCUUC